rnacentral:rRNA from 1 species
GACGAACGCUGGCGGCGUGCCUAAUACAUGCAAGUCGAGCGGACUUUCAAGAAGCUUGCUUUUUGAAAGUUAGCGGCGGACGGGUGAGUAACACGUGGGCAACCUGCCUGCAAGACGGGGAUAACUCCGGGAAACCGGGGCUAAUACCGGAUAAUAUCUUCCUUCGCAUGAAGGAAGGUUGAAAGGCGGCGCAAGCUGCCGCUUUCAGAUGGGCCCGCGGCGCAUUAGCUAGUUGGUGAGGUAACGGCUCACCAAGGCGACGAUGCGUAGCCGACCGGAGAGGGGGAUCGGCCACACUGGGACUGAGACACGGCCCAGACUCCUACGGGAGGCAGCAGUAGGGAAUCUUCCGCAAUGGACGAAAGUCUGACGGAGCAACGCCGCGUGAGCGAAGAAGGUCUUCGGAUCGUAAAGCUCUGUUGUCAGGGAAGAAAAAGUACCGUUCGAACAGGGCGGUACCUUGACGGUACCUGACCAGAAAGCCACGGCUAACUACGUG